GACGAACGCUGGCGGCGUGCUUAACACAUGCAAGUCGAACGGAAAGGCCCUGCUUUUGUGGGGUGCUCGAGUGGCGAACGGGUGAGUAACACGUGAGUAACCUGCCCUUGACUUUGGUAUAACUUCAGGAAACUGGGGCUAAUACCGUAUAGGAGCUCCUGUUGCAUGGUGGGGGUUGGAAAGUUUCGGCGGUUGGGGAUGGACUCGCGGCUUAUCAGCUUGUUGGUGGGGUAGUGGCUUACCAAGGCUUUGACGGGUAGCCGGCCUGAGAGGGUGACCGGCCACAAUGGGACUGAGAGACGGACCAGAGUGCUACGGGGGGCAGCAGUGGGGAGUAUUGCACAAUGGGAGGAAGCCUGAUGCAGCAACGCCGCGUGCGGGAUGACGGCCUUCGGGUUGUAAACCGCUUUCGCCUGUGACGAAGCGUGAGUGACGGUAAUGGGUAAAGAAGCACCGGCUAACUACGUG
rnacentral:rRNA from 1 species